ACUUUUCACCUCAACAGCCUCGACCACGCUUGAUUCAACAUAUUCUUCAUCCUUCUCGUUGAAGUUCUCGGCUGUACUUCCAUUGUCGUCAGAUGAUGAACUGAAGCUGCAACGCAAUGUCUUGCAUUUUCUAGCACAACCUUUGAGAGAAAUAGCUGGUAACUUAGCAUUCAAACCGUUGAUCCCCGUGAAUCCCCAUAAUUCACCUCUUCGAAAACUAAAGGGCAUUAAAGAACGAUUGAUUGGCAACGAACAAAACCCUGCUUGCUUCGCACGAAUAGUAGGGCAAACAACUGGUCCUUGCAACGUCCCCAUAUCGCGUCCUUUUAUAGAUACGAAAAUUAGGCCGUAUCACGACCAAAACUCGUAACAGGGGUCUCCAAAUAGUACGCUAAAAAUCGGCGAUCACAGCUCGAUCUGGUAAAACAAUUCCCGCCAGAUUCUCGAUCCCGGAAUUCCAGAAUGCAAAAUCUGAAUUUCAAUAGCGGAAUCGAUGGCUAAAUUUAAGUUCACAAAUUAUCAACGACACAGAUCAAAGAAGAAAUUGACGGAAAAUUAAAAGAAAGAACUCGGAAGGAAAAGACCGACAAGAUGAACGGAUAAG
rnacentral:misc_RNA from 1 species